rnacentral:rRNA from 1 species
AUUGAACGCUGGCGGCAGGCCUAACACAUGCAAGUCGAGCGGGGUUUUCGGACCUAGCGGCGGACGGGUGAGUAAUGCGUAGGAAGCUACCCGAUAGAGGGGGAUACCAGUUGGAAACGACUGUUAAUACCGCAUAAUGUCUACGGACCAAAGUGUGGGACCUUCGGGCCACAUGCUAUCGGAUGCGCCUACGUGGGAUUAGCUAGUUGGUGAGGUAAUGGCUCACCAAGGCGACGAUCCCUAGCUGGUUUGAGAGGAUGAUCAGCCACACUGGAACUGAGACACGGUCCAGACUCCUACGGGAGGCAGCAGUGGGGAAUAUUGGACAAUGGGCGCAAGCCUGAUCCAGCCAUGCUGCGUGUGUGAAGAAGGCCUUCGGGUUGUAAAGCACUUUCAGUAGGGAGGAAGCGUUGUGUGUUAAUAGUACACAGCGUUGACAUUACCUACAGAAGAAGCACCGGCUAACUCUGUGCCAGCAGCCGCGGUAAAAC